CAUUUCUUCAUUUUUGUCUUUUCUUAAAUGGGUAGUAGGUAUUGGUAACUUUGCCAGUUGACAACCCCUUUCUAGUGUGCAAUCAAGCUUCUAAGCAGCCUUGUGUUUUGUUUUCUAUUCGUGGUUGGCUGCCCCCUUUAACCUUAUCAAAGCAGUUAAAUUUCUUCAAACUGUCAACCAGAGCCAUGUCAGCAUCUUAAAGAAAGUCACCGCUGACAAAGCUCAGCACAACUGAAUUGAUCUUUCACCCCUUGGGGCAUUCUAAACAGCCAGCCCCUUGCACCACCCCCAGAGCUUGAUUUAAAGUUCAGCCCUUUCUGCCUUCUUGUGGGGAAGGCAAGCUGGGCUGCUCCAUAGCUGGAUUUAAAAAUAUUUCUGUCUCCAUGUUUAACACCUCAGCUUUUCUCUGGGACUUCUAGGUGCCUAGGGGGGUGAAGUGAAGUUUGAGGAAACAGAUAUCAACAGAUCGAAGUAAAUCCAAUAUACUCUGUGUCCUUGUGGCAAAUGAUCAUCAGACCAAGUACAGUUUUCUGUUCAAAGGACAUGGAGUGGUACGAUUUGAGCAGCAAGGAGGGCUUUCUUAUCAAACUCUCAAUACUUUUUCUACCUUCUCCAUCUUUAAAAAUUUUAAUUAGUCUGCAGGAUGCCUGGAUCUGGGGAGAAUAGUUUAAUUUUAUUCAGCAACUACACUUCAAAGUUAAGUCAUGACAAGCCUCUUCCACAACGUGGUAUAUCCCUGAGCUACUUUUCUGUCUGACUCUUAUGGAGUCCUCUACAGAAGAUGCCUUGUGCUAUAAAAUUUUAUUUUAAAAAUAUCCGCUAUUGGAUUUCCCAUCACAGCUUAGUGGUAACAAACCUGACUACUACCCAUGAGGACUCAGGUUCGAUCCUGGCCUCCCUCAGUGGGUUAAGGAUCCGGUGUUGCUGUGAGCUGUGGUGUAGGUCAUAGACGCGGCUCGGAUCUGGCACUGCUGUGGCUGUGGCUGUGGCAUAGGCCAGCAGCUAGAACUCUGAUUUGACCUCUAGCCUGGGAACUUUCAUAUGCUGCAGGUACGGCUCUAAAAAGACAAGAAAAAAAAAUUGCUAUUGUUUGUGUUCUACGUAAAAUUUGCCUUUGAGAGUUGCUGCUAUGGUGCAACAGGAUCUGCAGCAUGCCUGAAGCCCUAGACGCAGGUUCGCUCUCCAGCUAGGCACAGAGGUUUAAAGGAUCCCACAUUGCUGCAGCCCACACUGCUGUAGCUGAAGUGUAGGUUGCAACUGCAGCUCAGAUCUGAUCCCUGGCCUGAGAACUCCAUAUGCUAUUGGGGGGAGGGGGGGUUGCUUUUAAACUUUUUAUGCUAAAUUUGUAGAGUAAAAUGGACAUAAGCCCUUCUGAUAAAAUCUGGACUUCUUUGAAUUCCAUAUUCAUUUCUUAACUAUCACUCCUGAUGAAAUCAUAAAGAUAUAAGAGGUAAGUCUUGCUCUCAAAGAGCUCACAGGGAAGUCAGGGAAGAAGGAACAAACAACAAUAAAAACACCUCCUGCUCAUUGCUCUAUGUAUGCAAUGGGAAUGACGCAUUUUUCCAUGAAUAGGGUUCUGUAAAUCUAGACUCCUCUGAAAAAGGAAAACUCCCAAUUCUAUUGCUGUGAUGUAGCUAUUAUAUAAGACUUCAAAUUUGGUGAAAUAAGUGAUACAGAAUUAAAGCAAUUUAUCUAAGACCAAAAGCUUCUUGGUUGACCAAGUUGUGUGUAACAUGUCCACAAAUGGAAUGUGAUAUCCAAGAGCCUAGAGAAAGACUGGAAGACCCCAAAGGCAAUACUGUGAUCAUUAUACUGAGUUCAAUUAAAUCCUGCCCUGACUCCUGCUCUUUUAUAUUUCUACUAAAAAAGGACAUCAAUUUUCUGAUUUUGCUAAUAUGAAUAUAGUCUUAUUUUCUUUCUCUCCUCUCCUCCUCUUUCUCUUUUGUGCACACACACACACUCAUUAUUAUUGUUAUAUAUAAUACAUAUUACAUAAAUACAUGCUCAUAUGAGAUUUGUCCUUAUCUAAUAACUUUACAUAUAGAGCACUCUACAGUUACUGGUAGCUUUCAUUUAUCAAUCUUAUUUAAUUUCAUAAAUUCAUCAUGAGUUAAUGACUUUCACAAGGUCAAGACAUACAGGUCAAGACAUACAGGCAUAAACUAUAGGGUAGUAAUUGAAAUGAACUUCAACAGCCUUAUUUGUUCAUAAAUUUACCAUUGACAACUGCUGGAUUUCAUAAAUCAUAGGAAGAAUACAAGACAAUUCACUUUAUAAGAGCUCAUGUAUUAAAAAAAAAGAUAUUAGGCACGCUAGGAGUACAUGAAAUUGCGAAUGGGUAGAAUUUUAAGUACUGUCUUCACUGCCAGAGAUACUUCCCUUCAGGAACCUUCAUCUGAUUUCAUUUUCAUUUCACAAUCAAAUAUAAUUCAUGUGCUC
rnacentral:lncRNA from 1 species